rnacentral:rRNA from 7 species
AUGACUGGGGUGAAGUCGUAACAAGGUAACCGUAGGGGAACCUGCGGUUGGAUCACCUCCUUACCUAAAGA